rnacentral:rRNA from 1 species
UUAAACUUUAUUUUGUAUAAAUUGUUCUCGAAUUGUGAAGAGCUAAGGAUAUAUUUAUUUUAAUGUUGCAUAAUUAUUUGGGAUAUAUUUUUUGUUGUUAUAUGUUAUUCGUUUUUCAAGAUAUCUAGUUUUUUAGGAAAUUAAUUUAAUUAAGCUGUUCUGUUAAUUUAACUAUUUGUUUAGUUUUUAUUAGGGUUUAUGUAAUGUCUAGAGGGAUAAGCUUUUAGAUAAAUUAAUAUAACUAGUUUAUGUUUUAUAUGUUGUAGGAAUAGAAGUUUUCAUCUAUUGAAGUGUGUUAUUACUUGGUAUUAGGAAAUUAGAUUUUUAUUUUGUUUAUGUUUUUUUACUGAAGUUAUAAUUUUAAUUGGUUUUGUUUUGAAAUAAUGAUUGGAUUAGUAUAUUAAAAUAUAAGUUGUUUUUUUUUUGGCUAGGUUAUUUGAAGGAAUUCGGCAAUAAAACUUUCUGCCUGUUUAUUAAAAACAUGGCCUCCUGGGAAUAAUAUGAGGUCUGACCUGCUCUAUGAUAGAUUAAAUGGCUGCGGUAUUUUGACCGUGCAAAGGUAGCAUAAUCAUUAGUUUUUUAAUUGGAAGCUGGCAUGAAUGGUUGGACGAGAAAGUUUCUGUCUCUGGGUAAUUUUAUUAGAAUUUUAUUUUUUAGUGAGAAAGCUUAGAUGUAAGUGAGGGACGAGAAGACCCUAUAGAAUUUUAUAAUUUGGUUUUGACGUGGUUUUUAGACUUAUUUACUUGGUUGGGAUUUAAUUGUUUCGUUGGGGUGAUGGAGAAAUUUGUUUAACUUUUUUUUUUUAAGUGCAUUAAUUUAUGAUUAUUUGAUCCAUUUUUUAUGAUUAUAAGAUUAAAUUACCUUAGGGAUAACAGCGUAAUUAAUCUGGAGAGUUCUUAUCGAUAGAUUAUUUUGCGACCUCGAUGUUGGAUUAAAAUGAAUUUUUGGUGUAGGAGCUGAAAAAUUAAGUCUGUUCGACUUUUGAAAUUUU